rnacentral:lncRNA from 1 species
GGCCCCCAAGGCGCAGCCGCCCAACCGCUGCUCUUUUAGGAAACGUGCGCUUGCGCUCGCGGAGGCCAGGCCAGAGAGGCGGCGCGGCUCAGGCCAAACGCAUCACGCACAGAGCGCUCGCCUCUGCGCCAGGGCGUGAAAUGGGCACAGUCACGCAAGCCUCCUGGGGGAGCGCCAAGGUGAACAGGAGGUGGAGGGACACCAGCAGGCGGCUUUAUGCAGCAUGGUCUCUCUCUAGUCGCAGUCCGUGCAGAGAGAGGCAUUCAGUGUGGCCCAAGUACAAUUUACCUACCAGUUCUUUCAAAAAACAAUGCUAAAAGCCAAUUACAUUGUUGCACCUAAACUCAAACUACUGAGUUAUGAUUACGUGGCAUCCAUCCAAUCUGACGGCCAUGGAUAAAAGUCUUGCUGUAAAGUGACAUUUGUUUGACGAGCCCAAGCUUUUAACGUGGAUGGUCCUCAGGGGCCUUUACCAAUUCA